rnacentral:rRNA from 1 species
GAUGAACGCUGGCGGCGUGCCUAAUACAUGCAAGUCGAGCGAACAGAUGAGGAGCUUGCUCCUCUGACGUUAGCGGCGGACGGGUGAGUAACACGUGGAUAACCUACCUAUAAGACUGGGAUAACUUCGGGAAACCGGAGCUAAUACCGGAUAAUAUAUUGAACCGCAUGGUUCAAUAGUGAAAGACGGUUUUGCUGUCACUUAUAGAUGGAUCCGCGCCGCAUUAGCUAGUUGGUAAGGUAACGGCUUACCAAGGCAACGAUGCGUAGCCGACCUGAGAGGGUGAUCGGCCACACUGGAACUGAGACACGGUCCAGACUCCUACGGGAGGCAGCAGUAGGGAAUCUUCCGCAAUGGGCGAAAGCCUGACGGAGCGACGCCGCGUGAGUGAUGAAGGUCUUCGGAUCGUAAAACUCUGUUAUUAGGGAAGAACAAAUGUGUAAGUAACUAUGCACGUCUUGACGGUACCUAAUCAGAAAGCCACGGCUAACUACGUG